CUACGGGUCGCACCAGUGGGGAAUAUUGCACAAUGGGGGAAACCCUGAUGCAGCAACGCCGCGUGGAGGAUGACACAUUUCGGUGCGUAAACUCCUUUUAUAUAAGAAGAUAAUGACGGUAUUAUAUGAAUAAGCACCGGCUAACUCCGUGCCAGCAGCCGCGGUAAUACGGAGGGUGCAAGCGUUAUUCGGAAUCACUGGGCGUAAAGGGUGCGUAGGCAGUUUGGAAAGUCAGGUGUGAAAGCCCGGGGCUCAACUCCGGAACUGCACUUGAAACUUCCAGACUAGAAUACUGAAGGGGCAGAUGGAAUUAGUGGUGUAGGGGUAAAAUCCGUAGAUAUCACUAGGAAUACCGAAAGCGAAAGCGAUCUGCUGGGAAGUUAUUGACGCUGAGGCACGAAAGCGUGGGGAGCAAACAGGAUUAGAUACCCCCGUAGUC
rnacentral:rRNA from 1 species